UCCCGCCCCGCCCCGCCCCGGCACGUGCGCGCCGCGCCGUGCUGCGCUGCCCCGCGCUGCCCCGGCUCCCCCUGCGCGGGGCUGAGCGCUUCGGGAGCCGCCGGGUCCCGCUGGGGUCACUGGCCCCGGCCCCCUCUGGUCCCGUGCCGGCAAGAGCCGCGGGCCCGGGCCCAGGCCCGGACACUGGCGUGGGCAAACCCAGCGGCCGACAGAAAGGGGGCCCGAAAAUGAGGAACAGCAGUGAUAUCAAGAUUGCAUCUGUGUAAAACUCCAGCUAAAUCCGAUUUAUACAAAGAUAGAAGCCUAAAAUCGAAGGAGUUGGUUCUGAUUUUGCUAAGGUGCACCUGAAAUAAGAACCUGAGCCACUGAAAAUGGACUUUGAUGAACUGAAGUAAAUAAUCAGGAACACAGAAAAACCAAGCAAAUACCCGGGACAUUUAACUACUCGAGAACCUUGUCUGUCUGGAUCUUGUACAAGAAUCUUCAACUUGAAAACGCUCACACACGCAAGUUUUGAAGGCAGCAAACAACCCAACAGAUUGUGUCUCUGAAAGCUCAAGCUCUGCAAAAUCUCAGAGAUAGGGUUUGGAAAGAAGCAAAGGCAAUACUUACAAGGUUUUCAACAGGGCUUCUUCAUUGCUUCCAGAUUGUUCAGACUGCAGAAGCGGCAUUUUUGUUCACUGGGUUGAGCACUGGGUUGCAGUCACAUUAUUCUUGCACUGCAUUCUUUACAUUGGCUAUUUGUAAAGGGGCAAAUUGAAUUGGAGCUGUUGCUGCUGAUUUUUAAAGCUCUGAAUGGUGUAGGCCAAGCCUACGUUUUCUCCAUUCUUCAUGAUUCUUGUUUUGAUGGCUGUUUGCACUUCAAUAUGGCCUGCCUUUUAGGGAUACCAUCCUGAUGGUAGCAGGUCAUAAUAGGUAUAAUUCAUUCCUCCUUUGUCUUAGUUCACUAUUGUCUGUUUAAAAGAAAACAAAAAAGGUGUUUUUUGUUCCUUUUCCAAAAAUGUUAUUUAUUACAACUACUGUUAGCCCUAUGUUCCUCAUCUUGAUUCCCUUGAAUUGUAGGAAAGUUGUUCCUGUUUUACCAUGUUUCACAAUGUAUUAUGGGUCUGCACAUGAUAGUGCCUGCAGUGGUUGAGUGGAGACUUUAUAAAUAUUAUUUUGAUAUAACUAGAUUGAGGGGAAAAAAUCAUCACAAUUGCAAAUGAAAAAACAACUUGUUCUGAGAUACCAUAGAUCUCAAAGGAUGGAGAACAGCACCAUAUGUAGUUCUAUGUAUUUAUAUUUACUGAAAUGUAUGACCUGCUCUUUAAAAAUCCAAGACAGUCCAAUCCUUUUUAAAAAUCCAAGACAGUCUUUUUUAUAGCUUCCUUUGUUUCCUGCUUUUGAACAAUGUCAAAAUCACUCCCCAAAUCUAAAUAUUGGGUAGGGCUUUUAGGAAGUUCUGGGUGGCUGGCCCAUAGCCUUAUAAUGAAAUGAAAAGAGAAAAAUAAUCCCUGUGCUGAAUCUAAACUCUUUAGUAGCUGGGAGUGGGUGCCAGACCAUUUUAAUGAACUAUCUCUUUUAGCAUUCAGGCCAAUACUAGCUGAUUCAAAGGAGUUACAAGAAAUCUUAUAGACUAGGGACAGACAUUACACACAAACUGGCGUAAGCGAUCAGAAACUGGUUUAAACCUGUAACAGAACAGAUGUUCAGUGCACAUAAAUCAGUUUGAAAAUGGCUGAAACCGGUUGAGAUAGACCUGGUUGAAUGUAGUAUCAGACUUAAUUGAUUUGGGUUAAACCAGUUUAUGCAACGUCUAUCCCAGACCCCUUCUUGGUUUAAGUUAAAUCAGACUCCCCCAGCAUUCUAGCAUGCUCUUUGGGCUGGGCAGGGCUGUCUGCUCCACAGCAAGGCUGGCACCUCCCCUUUGCUCCCUGGCUGCAGCUCUGGCAGAGACUGUAGGCGUCUACCUGUUUCUCCCCUAACCUCCCUCCCCGCUAAGCAGGAAUUGCCCCCUCCCCUUUGCCUUGCGCAGGCACCUCUUAGCAUUAGCUAGCAGACCACAUGCUGGCUAUGGUCCGUGCUGUGGAAGAUAGGACAAAGGCAGAAUCAACAGGUGGCUGGUAAUGUCUCUCUGUUGUUUUCUUAAUGUGAUAAACACUGUGUUAUCAAUUCCCUGCUGGGCUGGUCAGGAGGUGGGAGAACCUUUCCCUAAUCAGUGUCCUACUGGGGCCUGGCCAUGCCCUCUUUAGCUCAGCACAAUGGAAGGGAAGGGAGGGCUACUGUAGAGCCCCCCCCAGCUUCUAGCCUGAGCCACUGCAGGCAUGUGCCUGCAUGUCUGGGACGUUUAUAUGGUUACAAACUGGUUUAGCCUGCCCAGGUUAGACUAACCUACAAAGAUUGAAUCAAUUCAGGCUCAGGCUUUUUGAAUGUCUGUCCCUAGCCAUAAUGGACAAGUAUUGAACAACAUACUUGUUAGGGAUUUUUUUAGUAGUUUAAUAUGGCCUAACUACAGCCUGUUGGUUUUAGGAUUUUUGAGCUUUUACAGAUGUUUAUUAAUUAAUUAAUUAAUUCAAUUUCUAUGCUAUCCUUCCCAAGAAAGGCUUGGAGUGGCUUACAGUAGAAGAUAAUAACCUACAAAACAGAACAAAAAAGAAAACAAAACAGCUUAAAAAGCAGCUAGAGUAUUGACAUACAACAGAAUGCCCUAAACAAUAUUGCAGCUUUAGUUGUUUGCUAAAUGCCUGCCCAAAUGGGAGGGCUUAUAGCACUUGCAAAAAAUGUCCGCAAUUUAGAUAUAAAAGUACAUUUUUGAAUAAUACUGGCUUCUACUCUGAUCCCAGAUUUUACCAGCCCUUUUCUUUAUUGAGCAACUUGAUAAAAAUAAUUCCUAGUUAGAGUGUUUUAUAGGAUUCUUUUUAUUCUAAAUUUAUAUUUUAUAGCUUCUAGUACCAAAUGAUUACCACAAGCAUUGCUAGAAAAACAAAAUGGAAAACAUUUGUACAUAAAUUUGUUGUUUCAUUAAAUGUUAAUGGAUAUAAUAGGCCAGUUGAGAGGACAUAGAUUUUAGCCUGUGUAAUAUUAAGCACUUAAAGCUCACAUUGCUGAUUUUCAGGAAGACCAUUUCUGUAGAGCUGAGUAUCACUUAUAAGCGAACAUGUGUUGGGGAAAUGUAUAGUUUCAGUAAGAGAGAACUCUGAAUCAACUUCUGUUUGUUGAAAACAAAUUACAUUUCUAAGGAAAGGAGGUAGAUAUAAUUUGCUCUAGGAAUUUCUGUUUGU